UCGGACAUCAGGAGGUUAGUGCAAUGGCAUAAGCCAGCUUGACUGCGAGCGUGACGGCGCGAGCAGGUGCGAAAGCAGGUCAUAGUGAUCCGGUGGUUCUGAAUGGAAGGGCCAUCGCUCAACGGAUAAAAGGUACUCCGGGGAUAACAGGCUGAUACCGCCCAAGAGUUCAUAUCGACGGCGGUGUUUGGCACCUCGAUGUCGGCUCAUCACAUCCUGGGGCUGAAGUAGGUCCCAAGGGUAUGGCUGUUCGCCAUUUAAAGUGGUACGCGAGCUGGGUUUAGAACGUCGUGAGACAGUUCGGUCCCUAUCUGCCGUGGGCGCUGGAGAACUGAGGGGGGCUGCUCCUAGUACGAGAGGACCGGAGUGGACGCAUCACUGGUGUUCGGGUUGUCAUGCCAAUGGCACUGCCCGGUAGCUAAAUGCGGAAGAGAUAAGUGCUGAAAGCAUCUAAGCACGAAACUUGCCCCGAGAUGAGUUCUCCCUGAGACUUAGAGUCUCCUGAAGGAACGUUGAAGACGACGACGUUGAUAGGCCGGGUGUGUAAGCGCAGCGAUGCGUUGAGCUAACCGGUACUAAUGAACCGUGAGGCUUAACCUU
rnacentral:rRNA from 1 species